rnacentral:rRNA from 1 species
UACGAAGGGGGCUAGCGUUGUUCGGAAUCACUGGGCGUAAAGGGCGCGUAGGCGGCGCGACAAGUCAGGCGUGAAAGCCCCGGGCUCAACCCGGGGAAUUGCGCUUGAUACUGUCGUGCUUGAGGCCGGGAGAGGAUGGCGGAAUUCCCAGUGUAGAGGUGAAAUUCGUAGAUAUUGGGAAGAACACCGGUGGCGAAGGCGGCCAUCUGGACCGGUUCUGACGCUGAGGCACGAAAGCGUGGGAGCAAACAGG